rnacentral:tRNA from 1 species
GCCCAGGUGGUGGAAUUGGUAGACACGCUACUUUGAGGGGGUAGUGGCCGAUAGGCCGUGCAAGUUCGACUCUUGUCCUGGGCA